ACGAACGCUGGCGGCGUGCUUAACACAUGCAAGUCGAACGGAAAGGCCCUGCUUUUGUGGGGUGCUCGAGUGGCGAACGGGUGAGUAACACGUGAGUAACCUGCCCUUGACUUUGGGAUAACUUCAGGAAACUGGGGCUAAUACCGGAUAUGAGCUCCUGCUGCAUGGUGGGGGUUGGAAAGUUUCGGCGGUUGGGGAUGGGCUCGCGGCUUAUCAGCUUGUUGGUGGGGUAGUGGCUUACCAAGGCUUUGACGGGUAGCCGGCCUGAGAGGGUGACCGGCCACAUUGGGACUGAGAUACGGCCCAGACUCCUACGGGAGGCAGCAGUGGGGAAUAUUGCACAAUGGGCGGAAGCCUGAUGCAGCAACGACGCGUGCGGGAUGACGGCCUUCGGGUUGUAAACCGCUUUCGCCUGUGACGAAGCGUGAGUGACGGUAAUGGGUAAAGAAGCACCGGCUAACUACGUG
rnacentral:rRNA from 1 species